GCUCUCGUAGCUCAUCUGGAUAGAGCACCUGUUUCCUAAACAGGGGGUAGUAGGUUCGAGUCCUAUCGAGAGUA
rnacentral:tRNA from 1 species